AUUGAACGCUGGCGGCAGGCUUAACACAUGCAAGUCGAGCGGGGUGAUGGUGCUUGCACUAUCACUUAGCGGCGGACGGGUGAGUAAUGCUUAGGAAUCUGCCUAUUAGUGGGGGACAACAUCUCGAAAGGGAUGCUAAUACCGCAUACGUCCUACGGGAGAAAGCAGGGGAUCACUUGUGACCUUGCGCUAAUAGAUGAGCCUAAGUCGGAUUAGCUAGUUGGUGGGGGAAAGGCCUACCAAGGCGACGAUCUGUAGCGGGUCUGAGAGGAUGAUCCGCCACACUGGGACUGAGACACGGCCCAGACUCCUACGGGAGGCAGCAGUGGGGAAUAUUGGACAAUGGGGGGAGCCCUGAUCCAGCCAUGCCGCGUGUGUGAAGAAGGCCUUAUGGUUGUAAAGCACUUUAAGCGAGGAGGAGGCUCUUUUGGUUAAUACCCAAGAUGAGUGGACGUUACUCGCAGAAUAAGCACCGGCUAACUCUGUGCCAGCCGCCGCAGUAA
rnacentral:rRNA from 1 species